AUUGAACGCUGGCGGCAUGCCUUACACAUGCAAGUCGAACGGUAACAGGUCUUCGGAUGCUGACGAGUGGCGAACGGGUGAGUAAUACAUCGGAACGUGCCUAGUAGUGGGGGAUAACUACUCGAAAGAGUGGCUAAUACCGCAUGAGAUCUACGGAUGAAAGCAGGGGAUCGCAAGACCUUGUGCUACUAGAGCGGCCGAUGGCAGAUUAGGUAGUUGGUGGGAUAAAGGCUUACCAAGCUGACGAUCUGUAGCUGGUCUGAGAGGACGAUCAGCCACACUGGGACUGAGACACGGCCCAGACUCCUACGGGAGGCAGCAGUGGGGAAUUUUGGACAAUGGGCGAAAGCCUGAUCCAGCAAUGCCGCGUGCAGGAUGAAGGCCUUCGGGUUGUAAACUGCUUUUGUACGGAACGAAAAGCCCCGGGUUAAUACCCUGGGGUCAUGACGGUACCGUAAGAAUAAGCACCGGCUAACUACGUGCCAGCCGCCGCUGUAA
rnacentral:rRNA from 1 species